rnacentral:lncRNA from 1 species
UACAGGUGGAAUUUAUGGUGCAAUAUAUGGUGCAAUAUUUCCGCCAGCAGGAAAUGUUAAUGGAUUUUUUUACAGUCUACGUCAAAUUGGAGCUGCUGGCUUAGUAACUGGUACAGCUGGACUUGUUUUAGGAGCUGGAGUUCCAAUUGUGCAAGCUAUUCG